CUUCAAAUUGUAAUAUCCACUUGCUAGCAGGCUUUUAAUAUUAUAAAGCUUAUCUCUAUAAUUUAAAGGGACACUUUAGUCACCAGAACGACUACAGCUUAAUGUAGUUGUUCUGGUGAGUAUAAUCAUUGCCUUCAGGCAUUUUCAUGCAAUAACUGCUUCUUCAGAGCAAAGGCAGUGUUUACAUUGCCCCCUAGGGACACCUCCAAGUGGCCACUGGAGGUGCUUCCUGGCUCAGUGCUGCACAGUAGGCAGCUCUGCCGUUGACGCUGGAUUUUCCUCAUAGAGAAGCAUUGAUUCAAUGUAUCUCUAUGAGGAGGUGCUGAUUGUCCAAACCUGUGUUUGGCCCCGCCCCCUUACCGAUUUUAGACAAUCCCAUGCUUUCCCCAUGAUGUCACCAAGGGGGCGGGGCCCAUGCCGGCGGACCCACAUGGCGCUGGAAAUAAGGUG